GAUGAACGCUGGCGGCGUGCUUAACACAUGCAAGUCGAACGGGAAAUACUUUAUUGAAACUUCGGUCGAUUUAAUUUAUUUCUAGUGGCGGACGGGUGAGUAACGCGUGGGUAACCUGCCUUAUACUGGGGGAUAACAGCCAGAAAUGACUGCUAAUACCGCAUAAGCGCACAGAACCGCAUGGUUCGGUGUGAAAAACUCCGGUGGUAUAAGAUGGACCCGCGUUGGAUUAGCUAGUUGGCAGGGCAGCGGCCUACCAAGGCGACGAUCCAUAGCCGGCCUGAGAGGGUGAACGGCCACAUUGGGACUGAGACACGGCCCAGACUCCUACGGGAGGCAGCAGUGGGGAAUAUUGCACAAUGGGGGAAACCCUGAUGCAGCGACGCCGCGUGAAGGAAGAAGUAUCUCGGUAUGUAAACUUCUAUCAGCAGGGAAGAUAAUGACGGUACCUGACUAAGAAGCCCCGGCUAACUACGUGCCAGCAGCCGCGGUAAUACGUAGGGGGCAAGCGUUAUCCGGAUUUACUGGGUGUAAAGGGAGCGUAGACGGCGCAGCAAGUCUGAUGUGAAAGGCAGGGGCUUAACCCCUGGACUGCAUUGGAAACUGCUGUGCUUGAGUGCCGGAGGGGUAAGCGGAAUUCCUAGUGUAGCGGUGAAAUGCGUAGAUAUUAGGAGGAACACCAGUGGCGAAGGCGGCUUACUGGACGGUAACUGACGUUGAGGCUCGAAAGCGUGGGGAGCAAACA
rnacentral:rRNA from 1 species